rfam:Tupaia chinensis contig182283, whole genome shotgun sequence.
GUGCUCACUUGGGCAGCACGUAUAGUAAAACUGGAAUGAUACAGAGAAGAUUAGCAUGACCCCUGCACCAGGAUGACAUGCAAAUUCGUGAAGCAUUCCAUAUUUUU